rnacentral:lncRNA from 1 species
GGUGGGUCUCUGGAGGCCAGCCUGGUCUAUACAUCCAGUUCCAGGGACAGCCAGGCAACACAGAGAAAUCCUGUCUAGAGAAAAAAAAAAAAAAGCCCCCAAAUCAAAAAGGAAUCUAUCUCCAAAUGCCAGUUCAUAUGUCCAAUCUAAUCAAAACAAUGGAAAAUAUGUAAAAUAUUUGAGUGGGAGUUGAAUGUGCAUUAUAUUCUUUUUAGUUGUAAGCUUGAGGUUUGGCAUUAGUGUGUUAACACUGUGUGUAUAUCUUUGAUAGCACCUAUAGAUCUGCUCUGUACAUAUAGUCAAUGAUAACUCUAUACCCCAUAUAUUAGCGCCAGUCAUUUGCUGUGACUGGUUUUAGUUGCCAUUCCAAGGUGACCUUCCUACUUCUCACUUCCCUGAGAAACAAAUACACACAGCUAUUAGAUAGAGCUAAAGAGCAACUGAUUAUAGUGAAACCGACCUGCGAGCUCAGAACUCAUGGCGAAAUGAGAGUUCAUCUUAUUUUCCUCUGGAGUGAAUCUGUACAUCCUGUGACUUGACAAACACAGCUACAUCCUGGGCACACAGCCAAUAAGAGGGUGUGAUGAGUGCGGGGUGAAGCUGGAGCUGGGACAGCACCAUUACCAUCGGCAGUGUGGUGGCAAGGACUUAUAUAAGCUUCCCCUCCUUGGCUACUUUCUCUACAUGUCUUCAGGAGCUCCUUCAAGGUGCUUUCUCUGGAACUUAGCCAUCAUGUUACACUUGUAUUUGUAAGAGUCCUGAGACAUCUACCUAUCUGGGAAGACAUGGGCAAAGACAGCAACUAUUUCUAUUUCAGUUCUUGUCAUCUAGGGCUAUAUGUAGUGAGUAUACGUCUGAGGAAGGCACAUGUAAAUGAAAGAGCCAAGCAAAGGACCAGGCAUGCAUGUACUAUGUCUCUUACAACUAUCUGCCAAUUACACAAGUCACUCCUCCCUUAGAGAGACAUGAAUGGAAGAAUUCUGAGGGGAAUUCAAGUUCUCUCCUCAAAAUACCUGAUUUAUGUCCUAAACUCAUAUAAUAUGAGCAGUUCUGAGGGAAGGAAUAUAAAAUUCCGCAAGAUUCCUGAGUCAGUACAGGAACUAUUAUGCAGGCUCCAUAGCUUUAAGUAGUCCUCAUAUGUUAGUUAGCAGGUGAUACUUAUUUCUCUGUGUACAUCAGUUAGGUUACUCUUACCACCAUAAUUCAGCUUGCAAGCAAAGCAACUGGAGCCUUGUAAUAAGGAGUCAUAGGCUUUGUAAUAAGGAGUAGAGUGGCUCAUGGAAAUACAGACUCCAGCUGUCAGGCAGGCUCGGGGAUGGUUGAUCUAACAUCCUAACAAUGCCACCAAUGACCCAGUUUCUUUUAUUAUUUCCACCAUGAUGUCCACUGCUAUCUAUUUCAUCUUAGGUGGCUCCCUUCAGGUUUGUGUCAUGACUGCCAACAGCAUUGGACUAUAAACUUCCUUUUCUCUGUCCAGAGAAGGCAACUGCUUUGACUACACAGCACAAGCCUUGGGCUUCAAAUCACAGCUUGUUUGAUACAAGUGUCUGAGUUAAGACCUAAGCCAAGCACUUCAGGGAGAAGAACAGAGUAAUCUUAAAUGUCUUAGGUCAGUCAGGGCCCAAAUAAGGUUAGGUCUCAUUCCCAUUCCUGUUGCUGCUACAUGACAGGUCUGGAGCUGAGCUCUGUGAAACACCCACAACAUAAGCCGAAGACUAGACUCCUCACACUUGAAUUAAGUGCGCAGUCGUUACUGAGAGAGUAGAUUUUAUUACAAAUGCACUAGAAGCAAUUUGCUGAAGCAUCAGGUAGCGAGGUAUAAUCAUUUAUGUAAUAUAAUGUGUUAUAUAAAGUUAGAAUAAUUUACGUAUUGUAGGAUUUAAGCUGAAAAGAGCCUUCAGAACUAGGGUUGUAGCCCAAUGGCCUGUGAUUAAAAUGUACAAGGUUUUAGCACACAUGAAAAAAUAAAUGAGUAAUAUCCUGGUCAGAAGUAUACCUCAUUUAGGAAAAAGUAAAAUAGGACAGGAUUUUUUUUUUGAAAUGGUGCUCCAAAUAUAACUUAUAUGAGUUGUCAUUGACUCAAUACAACUUCACAGUGUUUCACAAAGAAAUAAGGAUUUAGUACAAGUGGAAAGAUAAUUGUUAUAACUUUUCUUUUGACAUUAAUAGAGGGACAAUUAGAUUAAAUGUGAACACUAAAUAUUUAGCUUUGUAACAAAACACUACUGCUUUAUCGCAAGCUGAGGUAAUAUUUUACAUUUUUUAAAUCUAAAACUUAAGAGAAAAAACAAGUAAUCCUUGGUGUGGUAAAGCAACUAGAAGAAAUAAAAUUAAUAAUUUUAUAUGACCUCUGAUUUUCUAUUUUUAUCUCUUAUCACCUUUAUUCUUUCCUGGAAGACAGAAAAAAAAUCUCUUAAGACACAUGCAACAUUUUAAAUGCACUAGGGCUUUUAAGAUUAAGUGUAAUUAAUUUAUUUGAGACAUGUCAUGAGACAGGCUCACUACAAAGCUACAGUGCUGAAGACCUAGGGGUACAGGUGUGUAAAACAUCCCCAGUUCCUCUAGACUUAGGGGUACAGGUGUGUAAAACAUCCCCAGUUCCUCUAGACUUAGGGUACAGGUGUGUAAAACAUCCCCACUUCCUCUAGACUUUUUAAGAAACAUACACUUAUAUGUGGUAAAUUAUUCUGUUAAGGCAUUUAUUUUUCAAACUGAAAUAUUAUCUCCAUAUUUCUUACUUUCUACUACAAACUGUUGUACUUAAUCUUUAUUAAAUCAAGUCAUACUUCUGAGCAUGUGCUAUAUUCAUUUAGGGUGGGUAAUUGGUUACAAUUUUUUAAAUCAGUGCUCCACCUGGGGAACAUAGGAACUUUCCAUAGGCGAUUCAGAAGUCUAUGGCUUGUCAAGAACUUCGGCUAUCCCUAUAAACAAUUUCAAUACUUACACUGACUUUCAAAUACUAAACAGCUUAUCCAAUCCUCAGACUUGAUACAUCUUUGAAGAGUUUAAAUCACCUUUUCUAUACACAUAAUCAUUCACAAAUACAUUUAAAUAUCAUCUCUCUAAAUAUACCAGUAUGCUUAAACCCCUAUAAAGUUUCCUAUAACCACACAUCUUGAUUUGACUUUCUGUAGCAUUGGGAAUUGAGUAGAUUUUUAAAAAGGUUAGACACCUGUAAUAUUAGCAACUUGAAAGGCUGAGUAAAUUCUAGUCCAACCUAGUGAGACCUUGCCUCAAAAUGUAAGAGAGGGCUAGGAUAGAAGUCAUUAAUGUGAACUUUUGUAGCAUUUGCAAAGCCCUAUGUUCACUGCACAC